CUAUACAUGCAGUCGAGCGGACAGAAGGGAGCUUGCUCCCGGAUGUUAGCGGCGGACGGGUGAGUAACACGUGGGUAACCUGCCUGUAAGACUGGGAUAACUCCGGGAAACCGGAGCUAAUACCGGAUAGUUCCUUGAACCGCAUGGUUCAAGGAUGAAAGACGGUUUCGGCUGUCACUUACAGAUGGACCCGCGGCGCAUUAGCUAGUUGGUGGGGUAAUGGCUCACCAAGGCAACGAUGCGUAGCCGACCUGAGAGGGUGAUCGGCCACACUGGGACUGAGACACGGCCCAGACUCCUACGGGAGGCAGCAGUAGGGAAUCUUCCGCAAUGGACGAAAGUCUGACGGAGCAACGCCGCGUGAGUGAUGAAGGUUUUCGGAUCGUAAAGCUCUGUUGUUAGGGAAGAACAAGUGCGAGAGUAACUGCUCGCACCUUGACGGUACCUAACCAGAAAGCCACGGCUAACUACGUGCCAGCAGCCGCGGUAAUACGUAGGUGGCAAGCGUUGUCCGGAAUUAUUGGGCGUAAAGGGCUCGCAGGCGGUUUCUUAAGUCUGAUGUGAAAGCCCCCGGCUCAACCGGGGAGGGUCAUUGGAAACUGGGAAACUUGAGUGCAGAAGAGGAGAGUGGAAUUCCACGUGUAGCGGUGAAAUGCGUAGAGAUGUGGAGGAACACCAGUGGCGAAGGCGACUCUCUGGUCUGUAACUGACGCUGAGGAGCGAAAGCGUGGGGAGCGAACAGGAUUAGAUACCCUGGUAGUCCACGCCGUAAACGAUGAGUGCUAAGUGUUAGGGGGUUUCCGCCCCUUAGUGCUGCAGCUAACGCAUUAAGCACUCCG
rnacentral:rRNA from 1 species